CUUUACUGGAGUUGUACACGCUGCUUGUGGCUCCGUUAGCAAUACUCGCAAAAAGCAUUUCCAAAGCAAUCGUUCAGUCACAGCACCAUUCUUGCUGCAGUACAGCAACUGAAGCACAUCACGUCCACUGCAAAAACAGCAGCUUUAUGCCAGCAGAUAGUGAAGCGAUGUUAAAGAGCAUUGCUAGGUGGCAGUUCUCAAUCACACCCUCAUCGAUUUAUUCGAUUUAAUUUGUCCAAGAAAAGGCAUGGAGACUCGUUUAUCCCAGGUCCCUUCCUGUCCCCUGUCUGCACCCUGCACAGUUUAGGCAGGGUGGAAGCACCCAUGCACCGGGGUGAGGGCAAAGAAAAGAGAAAGAUGGGCUCACUGCCUCUCUGCUCCUCCUUAGGGAGGAAGGAGAGCUCUGUCCUGCAACCAUCCUCAAGUUCUAGCAAAGCGUUCCCGCAGGAAGAUAACUCCUGCUGGACUGGAGAGCCAUGCCGGGAGGUGUUGAAGACAAUAAAAUUCCCAUCAUUGAAGCCCUAGUCAGACAUUGAAAAGCAGCCAAGCUCCUAAAGCUGGGACGCUGGAAAUAAUCUGUUUCCCUGCCAAAGCCAGAAGAAAGUUAACAAGCAAUUUAAGUUUCAAGGCAAGCCGUUUUCACGUGUGUUGUUCAUUUAUUUGUCUUUGCUAGACAGUUUUUUGCUUCCUUUCAGUCCUUAACUUUUAACUGUGCAAGGCUGGCAGGGAGGAGAAUGAUGUGUUGUGGGGAGGAUUUGGAAGGAGACUCAGACAACAUAAAAGCAGUUGUUUUAGAGGCAGAGACAGAGGGGCUGGAUCAGGUCAGCACUGCUAGAUCACAACAGCCAGAUACAUGUAGAGGACUGAGAUGCUACUAUAAAGAAAGUCAUCAGCCCACCUAACCCAGGGACAAGCCACAACAUAAAUCAGAUAGCUCAGAUUCACGGGUGUUGUAUUGAUUGUGUCUCGUGGUUGCACUGUCUGGAAAGAAAUUCAAAUGUAGCUGCACCGGCUCUGCCAUCCUCAGCUAUCCAAGCCACAGGCUCCUGCAGU
rnacentral:lncRNA from 1 species